UCUAAAGCAUCUCUCUCCGAGGAUGAUUUCUCCUGUCCUGUGUGCUGUGACAUCUUCAAGGAUCCUGUGGUCCUGUUGUGUAGCCACAGCUUCUGUAAAGCCUGUCUGGAGGAAUACUGGAAACAGAAUGAAUAUCCGCAAUGUCCAGUCUGCAGAAAGAAAUCAUCAAUGGAAUUCCCCCCCUGUAAUCUGGUUUUAAAGAACCUGUGUGAGGCCUACUUACAGGAUAGAAGUCAGAGAGCUUCAGCAGKGYCUGAGGUGCUCUGCAGUCAGCACAGUGAGAAACUCAAGCUCUUCUGUCUGGAGGAUAAACAGCCCAUCUGUUUUGUGUGUCAAACUUCAAAAAAGCAUAAAAGCCACGACUGCUGCCCAAUAGAUGAAGCUGUACUGGUUCAUAAUGUAGGUGAUGUAUUUAACACUUCUUGAUUUACAAGAUGUACAUAUAGUCACAUGUGAAUGAAGAUCUGUGUGCCAUUCCACUCCUUUAACACACAGCACCUCUUUAUAAUGUUGUUUCAUUCCAGGARGAACUCAAGACUGCACUGGAGCCCUUAAAAGAGAAGYUGAAGGUCUUUAGAGAAGUUAAACUGACAUGUGAUCAAACAGCCAACCACAUCAAGAGUCAGGCCCAGGACAYAGAGAAGCUGAAUAAGACGGGGUUUGAGAAGUUUCAUCAGUUUCUACAUCAAGAAGAGAGAGWCAGGAUAGCUGCACUGAAGGAGGAAGAGGAGCAGAAGAGGAAGAACUCAAGACUUCACUGAAGCCCUUACAGGAGAAGGAGGAGCAGAAGAGUCAGAUGAUAAAGUAGAAGAUUGAGCUGAUGAGCAGAGAGAUAUCAWCACUUUCAGACACAAUCAGAACCAUAGAGGAAGAGCUGGGAGCUGAGGACAUCUCAUUCCUGCAGAACUACAAGGAUACAGUGAAAAGAGCCCAGUGUACACUGCCAGAUCCAGAGAGAGG